AUUGAACGCUGGCGGCAGGCUUAACACAUGCAAGUCGAGCGAGCGGCGGACGGGUGAGUAAUGUCUGGGAAACUGCCUGGUGGUGGGGGAUAACUAAUGGAAACGGUAGCUAAUACCGCAUACAAUCAGAUGUGCCGAAAUGGGAUUAGCUAGUUGGUGGGGUAAAGGCUCACCAAGGCGACGAUCCCUAGCUGGGCUGAGAGGAUGACCCACCACACUGGAACUGGGGAAGUGGCCAGGAUCCUGCGGGGGGCAGCCGUGGGGAAUAUUGGACAAUGGGCGGAAGCCUGAUGCAGCCAUGCCGCGUGUGGGAAGGAGGCCUUCGGGUUGUAAAGCACCUUCAGCGAGGAGGCGUUACUCGCAGAAGUAGCAACGGCUAACCCCGGGCCAGCCGCCGCGGUAAUUC
rnacentral:rRNA from 1 species